GCGGGUCAGCAACACCAGCUGCGAGAACGGUGCGUACGGCAGGGCUGGGGACCAGGCGGGCUCCGAGCUUCGCGCCCUCCCCUCCUUGCCACCGCUCUCCCUCGCAUCCUCUCCUCCCAGGGGGGCCAAAGCUGGGGAGGGGCAGGGCCAGCACGAGGUGGCUCCCACCCAGCUUUGAAGAUCAGGGUUCUGGCUGAGACUUCACUUUCAUCUUCGCAGUUGGGAUGGCUGAGAGGAGUCAGGGAAGGAAAGUUCCCUGCUCCACCUCUACUGCUCCUCCCAAGAAGUCCUGUGCCAGAUUGUCAAUGACCUCAGCCCUGAGGUGCCCAGCAAUGCCACCUUUCACAGCUGGCAGGAAAGAAUCAGGCAGAACUAUGGCUUCUACAUCGGCCUGGGCCUGGCAUUCCUGUCUAGCUUCCUCAUCGGCAGCAGCGUCAUCCUCAAGAAGAAAGGCCUCUUGCGACUCGUGGCCACGGGAGCCACUCGAGCUGUGGAUGGAGGCUUCGGCUACCUGAAAGAUGCAAUGUGGUGGGCUGGAUUUCUCACCAUGGCUGCUGGAGAAGUUGC
rnacentral:sRNA from 1 species